AUUGAACGCUGGCGGCAGGCCUAACACAUGCAAGUCGAGCGAGCGGCGGACGGGUGAGUAAUGUAUGGGGACUGCCCGAUAGAGGGGGAUCAACACUCGGAACGGUGGCUAAUACCGCAUACUGUCGGAUAACCCAUAGGGGUUUAGCGAGUAGGUCAGGUAAUGGCUUACAGAGGCGACGAUCCCGAGCGGGUCUGAGAGGAUGAUCAGCCACACUGGGACUGAGACACGGCCCAGACUCCUACGGAGGCAGCAGUGGGGAAUAUUGCACAAUGGGCGCAAGCCUGAUGGAGCCACGCCGCGUGUAUGAAGAAGGCCCUAGGGUUGUAAAGUACUGUCAGACGGGAGGCGUUACCGACAGAAGAAGCACCGGCUAACUCCGUGCCAGCCGCCGCGGUAAUAC
rnacentral:rRNA from 1 species